UUUUUUUUUUUUUUUUUUUUGUCUUUUGUCGUUUCGUUGUUGUUGCUAUUUCUUGGGCCGCACCCGCGGCAUAUGGAGGUUCCCAGGCUAGGGGUUGAAUCGGAGCUGUAGCCACCAGCCUACGCCAGAGCCACAGCAACGCGGGAUCCGAGCCGCGUCUGCAACCUACACCACAGCUCACGGCAACGCCGGAUCGUUAACCCACUGAGCAAGGGCAGGGACCGAACCCGCAACCUCAUGGUUCCUAGUCAGUUUCGGUAACCACUGCACCACGACGGGAACUCCUAUUUUUUUUUUUUUUUUAUUUUUUGCUUUUUAGGGCCUCACCCACGGCAUAUGAAAGUUCCCAGGCUAGGGGUCGAAUCAGAGCUGUAGCUACAGGCCUACACCACAGCCACAGCAAUCUGGAAUCUGAACCACAUCUUCGACCUACACCACAGCUCAUGGCAACACCGGAUCCUAAACCCACUGAUCGAGGCCGGGGAUCAAACCCUAGUCCUCAUGGAUUCUAGUUGGGUUUGUUAUCACUGAGCCACAACAGGAACUCCCAGUGUUGUUCACUUUAAAUUUCAAUUUCUCUCAAGUUUUUUCAGGGAAUCCUCCAUCAAUGUUUUUGUUUGUCUGUUUUUAAUUUGGUCUUUUUUAGAGCAGCACCUGUGGCUGGCCUACACCACAGCCACAGCAACGCCGGAUCCUUAACCCACUGAGCAUGGCCAGGGAUCAAACCCGCAACCUCAUGGUUCCUACUUGGGUUCGUUAACCACUUGGCCACGACGGGAACUCCUAUCAGUGUACGUUUAAUGCUCUUUCUGUUACUGAACUUUUUGCUUCUUUAGCUUCAGUUCUGGAGCCCAGCCACCUUAGAUCAUGUCUGUGUUGUGUCAUUUUUUAGCUUCUUGACCUGAGUUGUUUUUCUCAGAGUCUCUGACAGCUUUCUCCUCUGUAAGAUGGGAACAGAUCUUUCUUUUUUUUUUUUUUUUUUUUUGAGGUUGAUAACAAGUUCAUGUGUAUAAAGCAUUUAGUGUAACGUAUAGCUUAUAGGAAGAUUUUAUUUUUUUUUUUUUUUUUUUUGCUUUUUAGGGCCUCACCCACAUGGCAUAUGGAGGUUCCCAGGCUAUGGGUCGAAUCGGAGCCACAGCUACCAGCCUACACCACAGCCACGGCAACGCGGGAUCCGAGCCACAUCUGUGACCUACACUGCAGCUCAUGGCAACGCUGGAUCCUCAACCCACUGAGCAAGGCCAGGGAUCGAACCCGCAACCUCAUGGUUCCUGGUGGGUUUCGUUUCCGCUGCACCACAACGGGAGCUCCAAGAUCUGGACUUUUGUUAAUAGCACUGUGGACUUUGUCAUCUCUGAAGACACCAGUCACUCGGUAGCUCAUUUAGAUACUGGCUGUCACUCAAUGUAUAGAAUAUAACAUGUAACACUUGUGCCUAGACCACCCAUUGUUGGGUUUUAUUUGUACAUAUUUUGCGUAUUGUCCACAAAAAUGAAAAAUCCACAUUGAAUGUUACAAUCUCAUGAAAAAGCUUAAGAAAGUACAAUUAAACACCCAUCCUUUUGGAGUUCCCUGGCUUCGUGGUUAAGGAUCUGGUGUUAUUGCUGCCGUGGCAAGGGUUUGAUCCCUGGCC
rnacentral:lncRNA from 1 species